UUGGAGGGCAAGUCUGGUGCCAGCAGCCGCGGUAAUUCCAGCUCCAAUAGCGUAUAUUAAAGUUGCUGCAGUUAAAAAGCUCGUAGUUGAAUUUCGGGACCAUCAUGUCGGUCGUGCCUCGGUACGUACUGGCAUUGUUGGUUUCUCCCUUCUGACGAACCAUGAUGUCAUUUAUUUGGUGUUGUGGGGAAUCAGGACUGUUACUUUGAAAAAAUUAGAGUGUUUAAAGCAGGCUCACGCUUGAAUACAUUAGCAUGGAAUAAUGAAAUAGGACGUUUGAUUCUAUUUUGCUGGUUUCUAGGAUCGACGUAAUGAUUAAUAGGGAUAGUUGGGGGCAUUAGUAUUCAAUUGUCAGAGGUGAAAUUCUUGGAUUUAUUGAAGACUAACUACUGCGAAAGCAUUUGCCAAGGAUGUUUUCAUUAAUCAAGAACGAAAGUUAGGGGAUCGAAGACGAUCAGAUACCGUCGUAGUCUUAACCAUAAACUAUGCCGACUAGGGAUCGGAUGAUGUUAAUUUUUUAAUGACUCAUUCGGCGCCUUACGGGAAACCAAAGUGUUUGGGUUC
rnacentral:rRNA from 1 species